rnacentral:lncRNA from 1 species
UUAUAAUUUAUACCGAAAUAUCAUUAAAAAUAACAGAAUUAUAAUAAAAAGUUAUAAUUUUAGGGUUUAGGGUUUAGGGUUUAGGGUUUAGGGUUUAGGUGGGUACUUCGAUCCGACGUCGGUACAGUGGUGCACGUUCGGUGAUGGUUUCUUACCCUUGCCCUCUUACUAUUAUCUGUGUGCAUAUACAUAUUGAGCCUUGCACCCAUAUUAUUUCCGUAUUUACUCUACUCAGUUGUUUUCAUAUUUAGUAUCUUGUGUAGGAGUAGAGUAGAUUUCAUCAGCGUAUGAUAUAUCUGUGACAUGAUUGGUCGAGUUCCUAUCCUAUAUCUGUGACAUGAUUGGUCGAGUUCAUAUCCUAUAUCUGUGACAUGAUUGGUCGAGUUCAUACCCUAUACUUGUGACAUGAU